ACGGGUGUAGUUCAAGGGUAGAAUAGUGGUCUCCAAAACCAUUGAUGGGAGUUCGAAUCUCUCCACCCGUG
rnacentral:tRNA from 3 species